AUUGAACGCUGGCGGCAUGCUUUACACAUGCAAGUCGAACGGUAACAGGUUAAGCUGACGAGUGGCGAACGGGUGAGUAAUGCAUCGGAACGUGCCCGGCCGUGGGGGAUAACGCAGCGAAAGUUGCGCUAAUACCGCAUACGAUCUGAGGAUGAAAGCGGGGGACCGUAAGGCCUCGCGCGAUCGGAGCGGCCGAUGUCAGAUUAGGUAGUUGGUGGGGUAAAGGCUCACCAAGCCAACGAUCUGUAGCUGGUCUGAGAGGACGACCAGCCACACUGGGACUGAGACACGGCCCAGACUCCUACGGGAGGCAGCAGUGGGGAAUUUUGGACAAUGGGCGAAAGCCUGAUUCAGCAAUGCCGCGUGCAGGAAGAAGGCCUUCGGGUUGUAAACUGCUUUUGUACGGAGCGAAAAGGUCUCCUCUAAUACAGGGGGCUCAUGACGGUACCGUAAGAAUAAGCACCGGCUAACUACGUGCCAGCCGCCGCCGUAA
rnacentral:rRNA from 1 species